CAACGAUUGAUUGGUUUAUGUCCCAUUAUUGUCAUGUGACUUUGAGGUCAUAAAAAUGGUGAUAAACAUGUUUUUUUUCAAGCACAAUAGCAUUUUAUAUCAAAAUAAAUGAUGAAUUAAUCAUAAUCUGCAAAAAAAUAUUAUUAAUUUUAAACUUAUUAUAUAUUUUCGAGUACGAAAAUUAAUGCUAUCGCGUGAUCGGCGAGACGCCGCCAUCUUGCCGACUUUGCAUUCAUCCUCGGUCAGACCUCAUGGAAAAUGGAAUUAGAUUCUAAUUAUCUGCGUGAAAAUGAUUUAGAUUCAAGUAACGAAGAAGUGUAAGACCUUACUGAUGUCCUAGACACUGGAGAUAAUGAAAAUACAGUUUUGAACACUAUUUUGAACUCUUUCUCUACACAUCAACUGAGAAUUUAUAAAGGAAAAAAAGGAGUGAAUGGGUAUCCCUUAUCAACUGGGACUGUUACCUCCUGAGAAAGAACCAGGAAUUCAGCUGGCUGAGAUGAGGACAGGAGACAGUACAAUGAAGUAUAUGUUUACUCAAACCUAUUGUGUUUGUAAACUCUACAGUGGAUAUUGUGACAUACAUUAUGUCAAUUUACCAAUGGAUAUGUAAAGCGACGCAGAUCACCUAUCUGUCUCGGGAUGGUUUAAUUCGACACCUGAUUAAAUCUUACAGGUUUUAUGGACUUAUAAUACGUUCUGGGGAUUAUCAACACUCAUUUUGACAGAUUCUGAAGCAAGAAUUUACUCUAUGCUCUACAAUGGACUGCGGCUCAAGUUUUCAUAUCACGCUAUUGCUUCAAAGGUGUCGUGCUUUUUUAAAGAUGUACUAUCAAGAUACUGAACAUACAGAGGACAUAUUAUACAAAUAAUGCUCCCAACUUACAUCAAAAUUAAGUGCAGUAAAUUGUUGUAGCUUUAUAUAUUUCCAUAGAUAAGACAAAGGUUAGAAAGAAUAUUUUUCUUGACAAUACAUUAUCAUGCUUAUGAUUGUGGAUAAGCCAACAGUAGGGUAUGCAAUUAUGAGCUUUUGGCUGAUCACUGACAGGUUACACAUAUGGUUUUGUUUUUUUAUAUUUUAUUAUUCUGGUCAGUGGGCCAGAUGGGUUAGCUUAUGUGGUGGAUAGAAGUGAUCAGUUAAUAAAACUGUAAUGUCCUUCGGUAAACAAUUAAGUACUAGUAGUGUACUAGAACUAAAUUUUUUUCACCUUUGAGAUAUAACUAAAGUUAAUUUCUGUAUUUUACUUCAAGAUUAUUGAGAAAAGAAUCCAGAUAUCUUAGGAAAAAAAAUUCCAACAUGGUAUUGCCAAUUACACUCUUUAAAAGUUAGUUGGAAAGUUAGGUAAUAUUUCACUUAACCAUACUGUUUCUUUGGCUUGUAAGCCACCAUUAUUUUCCAACCAUUCUAUGAACCAUACUAUAUCAGAUUAGAAUGAGGAUUUUAAAUUGUUAUUGUAUUGAUAAAACAA